UGAGGAAUAUUGGUCAAUGGACGCAAGUCUGAACCAGCCAAGUAGCGUGCAGGAUGACGGCCCUAUGGGUUGUAAACUGCUUUUAUAUGGGGAUAAAGUGGGGAACGUGUUCCCUUUUGCAGGUACCAUAUGAAUAAGGACCGGCUAAUUCCGUGCCAGCAGCCGCGGUAAUACGGAAGGUUCGGGCGUUAUCCGGAUUUAUUGGGUUUAAAGGGAGCGUAGGCCGUUUGGUAAGCGUGUUGUGAAAUGUAGGAGCUCAACUUCUAGAUUGCAGCGCGAACUGUCAGACUUGAGUGCGCACAACGUAGGCGGAAUUCAUGGUGUAGCGGUGAAAUGCUUAGAUAUCAUGAAGAACUCCGAUUGCGAAGGCAGCUUACGGGAGCGCAACUGACGCUGAAGCUCGAAGGUGCGGGCAUCGAACAGGAUUAGAUACCCUGGUAGUCCGCACAGUAAACGAUGGAUGCCCGCUGUUAGCACCUAGUGUUAGCGGCUAAGCGAAAGCAUUAAGCAUCCCACCUGGGGAGUACGCCGGCAACGGUG
rnacentral:rRNA from 1 species